GGAAUCUUGGACAAUGGGGGCAACCCUGAUCCAGCGACGCCGCGUGGGUGAUGAAGGCCUUCGGGUUGUAAAGCCCUUUCGACGGGGACGAUGAUGACGGUACCCGGCGAAGAAGCACCGGCUAACUCCGUGCCAGCAGCCGCGGUAAGACGGAGGGUGCUAGCGUUGUUCGGAAUCACUGGGCGUAAAGGGCGCGUAGGCGGCCUUUGGUGUCGGAUGUGAAAGCCCGGGGCUCAACCCCGGAGGUGCAGCCGAGACUGCGGUGCUCGAGUCCGGAAGAGGAGGGUGGAAUACCCAGUGUAGAGGUGAAAUUCGUAGAUAUUGGGUGGAACACCGGUGGCGAAAGCGGCUCUCUGGUCCGGCACUGACGCUGAGGCGCGAAAGCGUGGGGAGCAAA
rnacentral:rRNA from 1 species